AGCCGAGGCCAAUGUAGAGAGAGGAGCGUGGGAAGGGAAGGGGAGAAUGCCAGGUCCCAGUUCCCCAAUCCCAGCAAGCACCGCGGGGACGACCAAAGGCAGCUUCGGUCAGAGAAGAGGCACCACCCGAGGCCUCCUACGCCCAUUCGUGAGUUCGGUACACUCUCACCCAGCAUACUCUGCAUGGCAGGCAUCAUGGGUACAGCAGGAAGCCGAACCGGAAGCCCCGCCCUCAUGGGACGUGCUAGCGAGGAGAGUCGGCCAAGGACCAUGUAAGCAGGUAGAACGUACAGGAAGCCAGAUGGUGAUCGCCUCAUGGAGGAUAAAGAAAGAUGGACAGGAGGGUUGCUGUUGCGGGCAAGUGAUCAGAAAAGCCUCUCAGAUCAAUUGACAAUUGAAGCGUUGCAGCCACGGGCAGCAGAAAGCCCAAGGGUAGUGGCUUCUUCCUCACCCAACUUACUCAGCGGCAUUUAAAGAACAGAGAGUAGUGACCACCGGGCACCCAAGAUCCUUCUGGAAUAUUUGUGGCUUGUAUUCACAGCCGGUUCAUUAGGCGAGGCCAAGGGGGUGGACCACUGGGAUGGGCCUAGAGUUCGGAGGACACGCUCACGUGGAGUUGAUCUGCUCUGGCAGCUUCGGGGUAUUGCCAGCUGGAUGCCCCGUGGGGCCUUUAGAAGAAGGAGGAUCAGAUUGACUCAGUUCAAGCGGUGGGAAUAAUGACAGAGUCAUCUUGUGGCCAUUCGCAAAGCAGCUGGAUGCCCACCUGCCUCUGGCAGCCAGUUAGGGGUGCGUGCCCAGGAAAACCAGAGAGCGGGAGCCAGAAUUCCAAGGAGCAAAGUGGAGACAGUGAAGGCUGGGGAGAGGAGAGGCCUGCCGGAGUGGAGAGCUUCAGCAACGACCCAAGUACUCGUUUGCUCAGAGGGAGUGAAUGGAAAGAUCUGGGAAGCCUUUUACAUAAGCGGUAUUCAUCAGACGCCUCCCCGGGCCCAGAGGUGCAGAGGGUACUGGGGUCACCGGUGUACCACUGUUACAAACGACGGAUGUGAUCAGAACAAAGGUGUGGCACAGAAGAGACCCAAAGGAUGGGUGUGGAAGAGAUGAUAGCCAUAGGACCACAACUACUACUAACAAAAGUUAAAUUAAAAAAAAAAAAAAACAGACCGAUACUUACAUCUACAAGGUCAAGGAAGGCUCCGAGUUGCUGUUUUGAGUCCGUGUUAGGCCAAGAGUACAAAAUGGCAGACGGCAAUGGAGUAAACCCUCCCACGGAUCCCGCCGCUGUUUUUUUAGAGUUUCUCGGGCACUGGACCCAACUGGAUCGGUUUCCCAGUUCUGCAGAGAAGGCAACCAAAGGCCGCAACGACAACUUGCUUUGCUUUUUACUAUGAGAUAUCACCGUGACGGUAGCAUAGGGUCCCUGCAGCUCCAUUCCUGGGGUCCGUUUUCUUCUCGCUCUGGUCCUAACAAGCAAGAUGUCUGAGGGAACACCAAGGAAUGGGGUAUUUCGUCUCCGUCAAAAGUGCAUGUAAUUUUUAAAAAAC